rnacentral:rRNA from 1 species
AACCUGCCCCCUUCUUUGGGAUAACGCCCGGAAACGGGUGCUAAUACUGGAUAUUCACUGAUCUUCGCAUGGGGGUUGGUGGAAAGGUUUUUUCUGGUGGGGGAUGGGCUCGCGGCCUAUCAGCUUGUUGGUGGGGUGAUGGCCUACCAAGGCUUUGACGGGUAGCCGGCCUGAUAGGGUGACCGGUCACAUUGGGACUGANAUACGGCCCAGACUC